rnacentral:lncRNA from 1 species
UCUUGUGCUGAUCCUAAGACCCACCUUUCUGCAAGAAUUGUAGCAAGCACUGGCCCCACCAAGUAACAUAGUACAAGAAAGGUAAGGAUUUUUUGUAUGCUGAGGGAAAGUCCUGUUAUGACAGGAAACAGCAUGGCCCUGGUAGGCAGACUAAGCCUAUUCCCACAGGAGACAAACUAUAAACAGACUGGGAGACUUGAGUAUGCUGCAGGUCUGAGAGAGGUUGGCUCUUCACAGAUGUGAGCAUUAAGGACUGGGAGGCAGUAAGAAGAGAAAGGGCUAAGAGGCCCAGUUCUAA